UUUUAGAUAUGUGGGGAGGAAAAGCAAGGUUAAAAUUGGACCCCUGAUAAACCAGAUGGAACAACUGAAAACUGAUGCCCAGGAAAAAGCCAGUUUGC